rnacentral:lncRNA from 1 species
AAAUCAGCCUUAACAUAAACAUCAACUAGAUAUGAGCUGAAUUUUCAAGUAGAAGCAUCAUGGUUAAUAGUGAAGGACAUUCUGGGCCAAUUACACAUUCCCAGUACAGCUGAUGGUUCCCUGAACCAUUAAACCGACCCUGAACCUUAUGGCCCAUGCUGAGUACAGCAGAAUGAGCAUACAAAUAACUGGAAUGGAUCGUCAAAUCACUGACACACUCACAGCUCGCACACAACAAACAGGGAGUAAGGUAAACAAUCAACGGAUACCCAGUUCCAGACUUAAAGUUCUCAUAAUUCUGAAUGCAAAACAAAGCUAGAGAGUAGGAUAGAUUCAUCCUUAUGACCUCAAAGGAUCCCCAUGAACUAGAUAUUCCGUUUACACCUGAAUUCUAAGGGUCUCCACCCUAUAUCAAUUACUUGCACCUAAUCGCUAUAAAUCAGAUAGAAAACACCCUUACAAUAAGAGAAAAACAAAGAUCGAUGCGAAUAGUUCAGUCUUCAUGCUCAAAAUCUUAGGGUCAAAACAGAACAACCAAAGCAGACAUAAUAAGAAAUCCGCAAAAACAGUUGGAACACCUUAAGUAAAUUUUACAACAGGAAUGCUAAUCACUUCUUGCGGAUAAUUCGAGGUGCACGUCGGCUUACGAUAUGCAUAAGAGUCUAAAAACAAUUGGAACACCUAAAGUAAAUUUUACAACAGGAAUGCUAAUCGACUUCUUGCGGAUAAUUCGAGGUGCACGUCGGCUUACGAUAUGCAUAAGAGUCAACAAAAUCUAGAAAGAACAAUCACAUGACCAAACAACACUGAAUGAGCAGCAAACAUUAGGAGGAAGAUUAACACACACAAUCACUUGUUUCAAACGAUUCUUAGAUUAGAAUUCUAAAGGUCUCCACCCUAUAUCAAUUACUUGCACCUAAUCGCUAUAAAUCAGAUAGAAAACACCCUUACAAUAAGAGAAAACAAAGAUCGAUGCGAAUAGUUCAGUCUUCAUGCUCAAAAUCUUAGGGUCAAAACAGAACAACCAAAGCAGACAUAAUAAGAAAUCCGCAA